rnacentral:rRNA from 1 species
ACGCUCGACACCUACGAGAGGCAGCAGUCGGGAAUAUUGCGCAAUGGAGGAAACUCUGACGCAGUGACGCCGCGUAUAGGAAGAAGGUUUUCGGAUUGUAAACUAUUGUCGUUAGGGAAGAGAGAGGACAGUACCUAAGGAGGAAGCUCCGGCUAACUACGUGCCAGCACGCCGACGGUAAUCUGAGGCGGGCUGGACAAGGC